CUAGCUCCCGCUUCACCAGUCAGUCAGCCGAAAACACUCACGAGAUUCACAACUCCGUCUCAACCCUGGCUCCUUUGUGAUGAUGAUUCAGAUACGGAACCAACAACAGAAGACACUGCUUACACCUAGCUCCGCGCUCCACAAAGUUCCAGAGAUCCGGGCGGAACCAGACUUCCUUCCAUUAUCCUGUAUACAGGAUAAGUCCGCAAUCUCUCCCUCCCACAGGAGAAGGUAACAAUAGUUCGCUCCGCAAUGUUCCAGAGAUCCGGGCGGAACCAGACUUCCUUCCAUUAUCCUGUAUACAGGAUAAGUCCGCAAUCUCUCUCCCUUAGACUAA